rnacentral:rRNA from 1 species
UACGUAGGGUGCGAGCGUUGUCCGGAAUUAUUGGGCGUAAAGCGCACGUAGGCGGUUCGUUAAGUCGGAUGUGAAAGCCCUCGGCUCAACUGAGGAAGUGCACCCGAAACUGGCGAGCUUGAGUACGAAAGAGGAUCGCGGAAUUCCCGGUGUAGAGGUGAAAUUCGUAGAUAUCGGGAGGAACACCGGCGGCGAAGGCGGCGAUCUGGGUCGAUACUGACGCUGAGGUGCGAAAGCGUGGGGAGCAAACAGG